UACGAAGGGGGCUAGCGUUGCUCGGAAUCACUGGGCGUAAAGCGCACGUAGGCGGCCCGGUAAGUCCGUUGUGAAAGUCAAAGGCUCAACCUUUGAACGCCGAUGGAUACUGCCGGGCUAGAGUCCGGAAGAGGCGAGUGGAAUUCCUGGUGUAGCGGUGGAAUGCGCAGAUAUCAGGAGGAACACCAAUAGCGAAGGCAGCUCGCUGGGACGGUACUGACGCUGAGGCGCGAAAGCGUGGGGAGCGAACAGG
rnacentral:rRNA from 1 species